UAGUACAAAUGGUUAACAUGCUUGGUUGCUAACCAAAAGGUUGGUGGUUCAAGUCCACC
rnacentral:tRNA from 1 species